GUCUUGGUGGUUCAAUGGUAGAAUUCUCGUCUUCAUGUGGGAGAUCUGGGUUUGAUUCCCAGCCAAUGCA
rnacentral:tRNA from 1 species